CAAGUCGAUAACCAUUGGGGGGUAAGGCCUCCAAGGGAGGUUCGUAACGGUUUGAAGGGNGUNCGCCCCCCGGGACUGAGNCCGGCCCAGUUUCUCGGGAGGCAGCAGUGGGAANNUUGGCAAUGGGCGAACCCUGAUUCAACCAUUCCCGGGGGUGAAGAAGGCUUUGGGUUUUAAAGCCCUUUAAGUGGGGAGGNGGGGCAUNAAGUUAAUACCUANGAUGAUNUGACGUUCCUNCAGAAUAAGCCUCGGCUAACUCNUGCCAGCAGCCGCGGUAAUACNAAGGGUGCAAGCGUUAAUCGGAAUUACUGGGCGUAAAGCCCGCGUAGGCGGUUNAUCAAGUCGGAUGUGAAAUCCCCGAGCUCAACUUGGGAACUGCAUUCGAUACUGGGAAGCUAGAGUAUGGUAGAGGAUGGUAGAAUUUCAGGUGUAGCGGUGAAAUGCGUAGAGAUCUGGAGGAAUACCGGUGGCGAAGGCAGCCAUCUGGCCUAAUACUGACGCUGAGGUACGAAAGCAUGGGGAGCAAACAGGAUUAGAUACCCUGGUAGUCCAUGCCGUAAACGAUGUCGACUAGCCGUUGGGACCCUUGAGAUUUUAGUGGCGCAGCUAACGCGAUAAGUAGACCGCCUGGGGAGUACGGUCGCAAGGUUAAAACUCAAAUGAAUUGACGGGGGCCCGCACAAGCGGUGGAGCAUGUGGUUUAAUUCGAUGCAACGCGAAGAACCUUACCUGGUCUUGACAUAGUGAGAACUUUCCAGAGAUGGAUUGGUGCCUUCGGGAACUCACAUACAGGUGCUGCAUGGCUGUCGUCAGCUCGUGUCGUGAGAUGUUGGGUUAAGUCCCGCAACGAGCGCAACCCUUGUCCUUAGUUGCCAGCACUUCGGGUGGGCACUCUAAGGAGACUGCCAGUGACAAACUGGAGGAAGGUGGGGAUGACGUCAAGUCAUCAUGGCCCUUACGACCAGGGCUACACACGUGCUACAAUGGUCGGUACAAAGGGUUGCCACCUAGCGAUAUGGUGCUAAUCUCAUAAAGCCGAUCGUAGUCCGGAUUGNAGUCUGCAACUCGACUGCAUGAAGUCGGAAUCGCUAGUAAUCGCGGAUCAGAAUGUCGCGGUGAAUACGUUCCCGGGCCUUGUACACUCCGCCCGUCACACCAUGGGAGUGGGUUGCACCAGAAGUAGGUAGUCUAACCGUAAGGAGGACGGCUUAACCCCAGGGGUUCNCCCUUU
rnacentral:rRNA from 1 species